GCCACACUGGGAAUGGGACCCCUACCAGACUCCUACGGGAGGCAGCAGUGCGGACUUUUCCGCAAUGGGCGCAAGCCUGACGGAGCAAAACCGCGUGGGGGAGGAAGGCCCUUGGGUCGUAAACCUCUUUUCUCAGGGACGAAGACUGACGGUCCCUGAGGAAUAAGCAUCGGCUAACUCCGUGCCAGCAGCCGCGGUAAGACGGAGGAUGCAAGCGUUAUCCGGAAUUAUUGGGCGUAAAGCGUACGUAGGCGGCCUAGCAAGUCCGGGGUUAACCCCCACAACUCAACUGUGGAUGGGCCUUGGAAACUGCAAGGCUGGAGGGUGGUAGGGGUAGAGGGAAUUUCCCGGUGUAGCGGUGAAAUGCGUAGAUAUCGGGAAGAACUUCUUAAAAGGGCGAAAGCGCUCUAAUGGAACCCACAACCCUGCACGCGCCC
rnacentral:rRNA from 1 species